AUCGACACUCGGGAUUUAUCAAAGACUGAAGCUAAUUUUGUUUUAAUUACAGUAAUUUAUCAUAUAGCGGUACAUUUGAAAGAAGAAAGAUGUAAACUAUGUAAUAUUUAUCAGAUUCAAGUCAUAAUUUUAGCAUUAAAGCUUUCGUAAAAUUUGAUAUUCAUUCAUCGUCAUAAGAUUUAAAGUCACAAUUUUCAAUUUCAGCAUCACUUUUCUUACUUUGAAAGUAAAUAUUACAACCAUCAGUAAAACUAUGGCUUUGAAUCUCAUAAAUAAUACCCCGUGCCAUAACACUGUCUAUCUUUCAAGUGGUGAACAUGUGAAAUGGCGUAAAUCCUCUGAUGUAAAUGAAGGCACCGUUUCUUGUGUACGGAAGGCUCUAGGUGGCGCCAAAGCGCCGGAGUCGCCUUAAUGAACUGUAAAAUCUAAACAGUCUGCGUUAACCCUAACUGGAAUAACGGUCGUUAAUGAGUUACUGCACUGAAGAUCAAGAUCGAUGAGCUCCUCCGGACCACCUCGCCUGUCCUCCGUGACGUCCAGCGUGCUCCCGGUGAUCCUGAAGUAAGCGGUGACCCCCCUGACUGACACCCUGCGAUUCCUGUGGUUCCCCCUCAUCCUGUCCCCCAGCACCAAGCCUCAGCGCACUGGGGUUCUGUCGGUGGUGGAUUGGACUCUCCUUGGACGCUUUAUUAAGUGGCUAUUCGGUCUGGCGCCGCCUCCCCCUGGGGCCGGCGUGCGCUCCCAGCAGCCCGUGGUGCCCUGCGCCGACCCCUCCCGAGCCCAUGUUCAGGGAAUUGCGGUGCGUCCGCCAGGAGCCAUGUGCCUCCCUCCACCCAGCAGCAUGGACAGUAAGCAACAGGGGCCGGUGACCGGGGGAGGGGUGAGACCACAAGAUGGAGGCGUUUCUCUGGAGCCCUUCAUACAC